rnacentral:lncRNA from 10 species
UUAGGAGUUCGAGACCAGCCUGGUCAAUUUAUUGAAACCCCGUCUGUACUAAAAAUACAAAAAUUAGCCGGACGUGGUGGUGGGCGCCUGUAGUCUCAGCUACUUGGGAGGCUGAGGCAGGAGAAUCGCUUGAACCGGGGAGGCGGAGAUUGCCCCAUUGCACUCCAGUUUAGGCGACAGAGUGAGACUCCGUCCCAAAACAAACAAAAACAAACAGUUGUAAGAGCAGCC